rnacentral:rRNA from 1 species
GACGAACGCUGGCGGCGUGCCUAAUACAUGCAAGUCGAACGCAUUUUCUUUCACCGUAGCUUGCUACACCGAAAGAAAAUGAGUGGCGAACGGGUGAGUAACACGUGGGUAACCUGCCCAUCAGCGGGGGAUAACACUUGGAAACAGGUGCUAAUACCGCAUAAUUCCAUUUACCGCAUGGUAAAUGGAUGAAAGGCGCUUUUGCGUCACUGAUGGAUGGACCCGCGGUGCAUUAGCUAGUUGGUGGGGUAACGGCCUACCAAGGCGGCGAUGCAUAGCCGACCUGAGAGGGUGAUCGGCCACACUGAGACUGAGACACGGCCCAGACUCCUACGGGAGGCAGCAGUAGGGAAUCUUCGGCAAUGGACGCAAGUCUGACCGAGCAACGCCGCGUGAGUGAAGAAGGUUUUCGGAUCGUAAAACUCUGUUGUUAGAGAAGAACAAGGAUGAGAGUGGAAAGUUCAUCCCUUGACGGUAUCUAACCAGAAAGCCACGGCUAACUACGUG